rnacentral:rRNA from 1 species
UGCCAGCAGCCGCGGUAAUACGGAGGGGGUUAGCGUUGUUCGGAAUUACUGGGCGUAAAGCGCACGUAGGCGGAUCAGAAAGUAAGGGGUGAAAUCCCAGGGCUCAACCCUGGAACUGCCUCUUAAACUCCUGGUCUAGAGUUCGAGAGAGGUGAGUGGAAUUCCGAGUGUAGAGGUGAAAUUCGUAGAUAUUCGGAGGAACACCAGUGGCGAAGGCGGCUCACUGGCUCGAUACUGACGCUGAGGUGCGAAAGUGUCGGCAUCAAACCGGAUCAGAUA